rnacentral:rRNA from 1 species
GAACAGGACGUCGCAGAGGGGUGAGAAAUCCCGUACGGUGACCGGGCCUCCACGCCCGUGUGAAGCUCCUUCGACGAGUCGAGUUGUUUGGGAAUGCAGCUCAAAAUGGGUGGUAAAUUUCAUCUAAAGCUAAAUAUUGGCCAGAGACCGAUAGCGCACAAGUAGAGUGAUCGAAAGAUGAAAAGCACUUUGGAAAGAGAGUCAAACAGUACGUGAAAUUGUUGAAAGGGAAGCGCUUGCAAUCAGACUUGCCCACGGGUGAUCAACCGGUAUUCUUACCGGUGCACUCGCCCGUGGUCAGGCCAGCAUCGGUUUGGGCGGCUGGAUAAAGUUCACCGGAACGUAGCUCCUCUCGGGGAGUGUUAUAGCCGGAGGUGCAAUGCAGCCCGCCCGGACCGAGGACCGCGCUUUGGCUAGGAUGCUGGCGUAAUGGUUGUAAGCGACCCGUCUUGAAACACGGACCAAGGAGUCUAACAUCUAUGCGAGUGUUUGGGUGUCAAACCCAUGCGCGGAAUGAAAGUGAACGGAGGUGGGAACCCUUAAGGGUGCACCAUCGACCGAUCCAGAUGUCUUCGGAUGGAUUUGAGUAAGAGCAUAGCUGUUGGGACCCGAAAGAUGGUGAACUAUGCCUGAAUAGGGUGAAGCCAGAGGAAACUCUGGUGGAGCUCGCAGCGGUUCUGACGUGCAAAUCGAUCGUCAAAUUUGGGUAUA